rnacentral:misc_RNA from 1 species
UUUCCGUAGGUGAACCUGCGGAAGGAUCAUUAAAAAUUGGCGCAAGCCGAUCAAGAUACCACCCUUGCAUUUCGAGCACCUCUGUUUCCUCGGCGGGCCCGCCCGCCAACGGGGACCACACCAAACCCUUCUGUAGUUGCAGUAAACGUCAAAAAACAAAAUAAAUCAAAACUUUCAACAACGGAUCUCUUGGUUCUGGCAUCGAUGAAGAACGCAGC